UAGGGAAUCUUCCGCAAUGGACGAAAGUCUGACGGAGCAACGCCGCGUGAGUGAUGAAGGUUUUCGGAUCGUAAAACUCUGUUGUUAGGGAAGAACAAGUACGAGAGUAACUGCUCGUACCUUGACGGUACCUAACCAGAAAGCCACGGCUAACUACGUGCCAGCAGCCGCGGUAAUACGUAGGUGGCAAGCGUUGUCCGGAAUUAUUGGGCGUAAGGCGCGCAGGCGGUUCCUUAAGUCUGAUGUGAAAGCCCACGGCUCAACCGUGGAGGGUCAUUGGAAACUGGGGGAACUUGAGUGCAGAAGAGAAGAGUGGAAUUCCACGUGUAGCGGUGAAAUGCGUAGAGAUGUGGAGGAACACCAGUGGCGAAGGCGACUCUUUGGUCUGUAACUGACGCUGAGGCGCGAAAGCGUGGGGAGCAAACAGGAUUAGAUACCCUGGUAGUCCACGCCGUAAACGAUGAGUGCUAAGUGUUAGAGGGUUUCCGCCCUUUAGUGCUGCAGAC
rnacentral:rRNA from 1 species